GGUUAAGAAUGAACUGCCAGUUUUGCGCAACUGACAGUUGAGCAAGAUAACAAAAUAGGCUGUCAGUUCACUAGAACCGACAAGCUAUGUAAGAAAUGGGUAACCCUUAUCUGGAGAGUGGGUGUCUUGAGUAAUUCCACUCAUUACCAAGCCAUAAACUUCAACAGAAAAUUGAUUUCUCAAUCAUUUUCUCAAAAUUCAGAGAAGUGCGAAAUAGAGGCGCUGGUGUCUGAGACUUUAAGCUGAUCCCAUUCUCAAAUUAGGUGAUGAACAGAGAGAUCGAUGGAGGUUUUUUAUCAGAGAAGAAGAGGCUGCUGCUGUAACUAUCAAUUGAAGCAUCAGAAGAAGAAAUUAAGGGUUUUCCCGAUUUGGAGUUAGGGUUUGUCGAAAUGAUAAUGUGAAAUGGGUAUUGGCUGUUGGUUCGAUGGAUUUAAGAAAUUGAUGUUGUUACUGUUAAACAGAUGAAGAUUGAAUUAGGGUUACAACAGAUUGGAGAAAUGGGUUUGUGUUAGUGUGCUUAAGAAUUUGCAGAUGAGAAAUUCAGAGAACAACUGUUACUAUGGUUCAGUGAAAUGGAAGAUUGGCAGAGGUUUUCUAUUCUUAAUCGAGUUGAGAUAAAGACCAAUACACCCUUUUACAAGGGUUUAGGAUGAUUCUGUGUUUGAAACAAGGUGGAAUUGAAACAAUGGGUUUGCAGCUACAGUUUACUGUCUGUGAAAGAAGAGGAGGUCUUGUAGCUGGUCGACGAAGGCUGAAAUACUGGUGCUGUGUUAAUGGGUUAAGUUCUGCUGCAGAGAAGAACAGAUAUGAGUCUGUUGAGUUAGUGGUUGCAAACUGGUGCAACUGCAGUGUGGAGUUUGAAGUUACAUGGAGCUACAUUACAUUGAACUGGAAUGGCAGUCUUAAAUGCCAAUGGAGAUAGUUCUGGUGCUCAGGUUAUGGUGACGGCUGAACAUGAGAAGCAGAUGAGGAGUUUCAGGUUAUGCUUUGUGCUGAGAAAGGAGGAAGUUAGUUUAUGUGGUUGGCAGCUCGAAUUCGAAAUGGUUUGAAUUUGUGGAUAAAAGGUCAAGCCAACGGUGUUACUGCUAAUGAGAUGAGCUCUGAUUGCAAUUUCAGGGAGGAGAAGAAUGAGAUGCAGGUUAUGAAAUGUUGUAUGUGUUAGAAUUGCAUAUGUUGAUACUGACAGGGGAGAGAAUGAAUCUGCAAUGGCAGUGUGUAGACUGAGUUGGUGCUAAUGGCAGUUAUGAGCAUAUGAAACUGAACUGAUUGGAGUGGUAAUGAUGCAGAGGGAGCUGAGUUUGAGAUAGGCUUUAAGAAAAGAACUGAUGAUGCUGUUAUGGAUCCAGAAAUUACACUGAGGCUGUAGAUUGGUGAAGCUGAAGUGAGCAUUCACAGGUGCAUUGGUGCAAUGGAGUCAUUUGGAGCGAAACAAGGAGACAACAUCCAUUUUGAGCAUAAAGAGCAGGAUCGUCAUUUUGGAGGCGGAACUGAGUCGAGCCAAGCCCUUGAUUGAAGACAACCAUUGCGGCUUAAUCUAGAGAAGCAAGGGGCAAACCUUAGUGGCCCUUAUCUAAUGAGCGGGUGUCUAGAGACAUUAUUGGUUGGCCCUUAUCUACCUCACCAGGGUGGCUAUAUCUACUAGCCUCGUUCCUACACAAGACCCUAAAACUGAGAGAAAUCAUUCUCGUCUGAAAUUCAGAGAGAAGUGAAGUAAGUUAUGGCGGUACCAUUAGAACAAAGAAUCGAGAGCACCGGCUGGCAGAGGAAAUGGAGAUCGAGAAGGAAGAAUUGAAAGGGUUUUAUGGUGAGAUCAAGAGAGUAACUCAUGGAGAUGAUGAAGAGAAGAUUACAGAGAAGAUGUGGUUGUGUAUAAAGGGGAUCUAAUGAUGAAAAGAUGAAAUUGAAGUUGGAUUUUGCUCGAAUUGAGUUCUAAUUCCGGUAUCUGUCAGAUAUUAAGAUGGUUUUGCUGUUGUUGAGGUUUACUGAGAGUUCAAGAAGAAAUUGCAGAUGAUUGAGCUUGGAAUCGAGAAGUUUUGGGUCUGUUGUCGCUAUUAACAGUGAGAAUCGAGAGGAAGUUAAAAGGGUUUUGGUUGAAUCAGGGAAAGGAUAUAAUUGAAUGGCUCUGCUGGUGGAUCUGAAAUUGAAGGAGAAUUUGGGUUUUGCAUUGUUGGAGCAGCAAGUACUGAGAUUGAAUGCAGAAAUGAAGUUGUAGGUGCAAUUGCAAGUUAGCUGAGAUGAUGUUGCUGCCAUCAGUUUAUAGUGAUGAAGCUGCAGGGAAGUUGGUUGGCGUUGGAGCUGUUUUUAUAUGCUGUACAGGGAAGAUCGAGUAUGUUGUGCAAUGAGCUGCAAGAACUGAACUGAAAUGAUGCAGGUGGAGGUUAUGGAGCUGUAAAUGAUUAAUUGCAGCUGAGUACAGGCAAUGGUCUUAACUUAGAGUCUGUGGUGUCUGAAGAGGGAAGGUACUGAGACAGCAAAUGGGUUUGUUUUAGGAGUUGGAAUUUGAUUUCACAGGAACCUGUCCCAGGAGUGCAGUCAACAAAACUGAGAUGGAAAAGGAAUUAAACCUGGUGGAUGGUGGUUAAGAAAAGGAAAUUGCAGCUGGUAUUGAUGUUGAAUACAAGGGUUUGAUGUUGAACUGGGAUUGCAGUCAAGAGCAGAAGGGAAGGCUGGAAGGUGAUGGAAUUGCAGUGAUGCUGUUGAAGUUGCUACUGGAAUGGCACAAUUGAUUGUGCAGCUGAAAUGGCUUGGUUGGCUGAGAAGAGCAUUGAGCUGAGGUGGUGUUACUAAGAUGGAUUACAGUGGAAACAAUGCAAGUGCAGGCAGGUUGCUGCCAAUGGGUAUUGCAGCUGAACUGAAGCUAAAGGAAUGAUGUUGUGUUGCAGGAAUGGGCUGUAUGGCUUGAACUGUGGAUAACUGGCGGUGAUUUGGUUAAGUGUAGUGCAGGAAAAAGAAGCAAUGUAGAUUUUCAAGGUUGUGAUGCUGAGUUUGUGGUUUGGGUUAUGAGCACAAGAACAAGGUGUUGGUGCGAUGGGUUUUGCAAAUCAGUUCGUGGCCGGUUGCAGCUACAACAAAGAUGGAAUUGGGAGAGAAGACAAACGGGAGAUUGCAGGUGAGAGUAUGGAGUUGUUGAAGUCUCAGUUGUUGCAGUCAAACCAUGGUGAAAGGAGAUGAUGCUGAAGCUAAGCAGGGAAGAAGGCCGGAAAUACAAAUUGGAGGAAGUGAAUCAAUCUGAAGAUAUGCUGUCAGUUCUCUGUAACUGACAGGCUAAGUGUUAAAAUGGGUUGCGGGCCUAACAUAUUCUGGACAGGUUUGAGAAGAGUUUUGAGCGGUAUUUGUCGUGGGUUUUAUGCGACCUAAAUUGAGAAAUUGGCAGUAGAAACAUAUAAAAAUAGAGGAGGCUCUCUACAUCUCUAAUAUCUUCUACUACUUUUGUUUUAGGGUUUAGAACCAUGAAACUUCUUUUUAUUCUUGUUAUGAACUCCUAUGCCAUGAGUACUUAAUUUUACCAUUGGUUAUGGAUUAGUUGGAUUUUACAAAGCAUGUUUCUUGGUCAAUAAAUUAAUUUUGUCU